AACGAACGUUAGCGGCGCGCUUAACACAUGCAAGUCGAGCGAGAAAGGGGAAACCCCGGUAAAGCGGCGCACGGGUGAGUAACACGUAGGUAAUCUACCCCCAGGUGGAGGAUAACCUUCCGAAAGGAGGGCUAAUACUGCAUGAGACCACGGUUCCGAAAGGGAUUGAGGUCAAAGCCGGCCUCUUCACGAAAGCUGGCGCCAGGGGAUGAGCCUGCGGCCCAUCAGCUAGUUGGUAGGGUAAUGGCCUACCAAGGCGAAGACGGGUAGCUGGUCUGAGAGGAUGAUCAGCCACACUGGAACUGAGACACGGUCCAGACUCCUACGGGAGGCAGCAGUGGGGAAUCUUGCGCAAUGGGCGAAAGCCUGACGCAGCGACGCCGCGUGAGUGAUGAAGGCCUUCGGGUUGUAAAGCUCUGUGGAGAGGGACGAAUAAGUGUUGGCUAACAUCCAGCAUGAUGACGGUACCUCUUUAGCAAGCACCGGCUAACUCUGUGCCAGCAGCCGCGGUAAGAC
rnacentral:rRNA from 1 species